rnacentral:lncRNA from 1 species
AACAGAUAUGCAAAUAACAGCUGAUAUUGUUUGUUAACUUAUAGAGUGAUAAGCCUGGAAGUAAACGUUGUACAUCAUCUUUACCACAGAUAUGUAGAUUGGACUACUCAGGGCUGCGGAAAAUUGUGAAGAAGAUGAUGCUCGAAAGUGAUGUGAAGAAACCACACCAGUAUCUUGCCUUGAAUUCUCCUUUUGACCACCUUGUGAAUUCCAAGACUGCAUGCUGUUAUAUAGUAACAGACUGCACGUAAAACUCUGGUGCUGAUUUGGCAAAUGGCAACAGAGGGAAUUUGCCAAAUAUUGGUUCAUAGUCUGAAGCUCUACUAGUCUACACCUGUAGUGGUGAGUGUUUUCAUCACUGAACUACUAUAUUAAACAGUCCCCAC